rnacentral:rRNA from 1 species
CCUACGGGUGGCAGCAGUGGGGAAUAUUGCACAAUGGGCGCAAGCCUGAUGCAGCCAUGGCGCGUGUGUGAAGAAGGCCUUCGGGUUGUAAAGCACUUUCAGCGGGGAGGAAGGCGGUGAGGUUAAUAACCUCAUCGAUUGACGUUACCCGCAGAAGAAGCACCGGCUAACUCCGUGCCAGCAGCCGCGGUAAUACGGAGGGUGCAAGCGUUAAUCGGAAUUACUGGGCGUAAAGCGCACGCAGGCGGUCUGUCAAGUCGGAUGUGAAAUCCCCGGGCUCAACCUGGGAACUGCAUUCGAAACUGGCAGGCUAGAGUCUUGUAGAGGGGGGUAGAAUUCCAGGUGUAGCGGUGAAAUGCGUAGAGAUCUGGAGGAAUACCGGUGGCGAAGGCGGCCCCCUGGACAAAGACUGACGCUCAGGUGCGAAAGCGUGGGGAGCAAACAGGAUUAGAUACCCUUGUAGUC